rnacentral:lncRNA from 1 species
CGGUUGCCAUUUUUAUUAAAUCAAUUUUUCGGUUUUUUAUUUCAGUUCGGUUCGGAACCAAAUCGAUCAAAUGCUCUCCCCUAGCCUUUAGAAACUGGCUUAUAACACUCACAACAAAUGCAAUAUUUGCACAUGCCAUUGUGAGAUAAUUUAAUUUUCUAACCAAAUGUUGAUAUAUUUGCACAUGCCAUUGUGAGAUAAUUUAAUUUUCUAACCAAAUGUUGAUAUCUACUAAGGUCUUCUAAUGGCUCCUCCUUGACCAGGAACAUAUUUAACAUUUGAAUCCAUAGGGGUUUUUACAAGUUUGCAGUUUAACAUACUUGUUUCCUCGAAUAUAUCUACAGCAUAUUCCCUCUACGAAAUCGAUAUGCCAAAUUUAGUGUGCUACCUCAAUCCUAAAAAAUAUUUCAAUUUUCCUAGAUCCUUGAUCUAAAAAUGAUUGAAUAAAGUGUUGCUUGAGUUGAGAAAUUUCAUCAUGGUCAUUGCUUGUUAUGAUGAUGUCAUAAACAUAGACCACCAAGAAAAUGUUUUUACUAUAUACUAUGAUGUAAAAACACCUAAUGGUCAGCCUCACUUUGGCACAUUUUGAAUUGUUGGAUCACUAUGUGGAAUCAUCCAAACCAUGCUCUCAGGGACUGUUUUUAAACCAUAUAUUGACCAUUUUAGGCAGCAUAGCAAGUUAGACUCCUCUUGAGCAACAAACCCUGGUGGUUCUUUCAUAUACGCCUCUUCAGCAAACUUAGCAA